rnacentral:rRNA from 1 species
CACGUAGGGCGCAAGCGUUGUCCGGAAUUAUUGGGCGUAAAGAGCUCGUAGGCGGUCUGUUGCGUCCGCUGUGAAAACCCAGGGCUUAACCCUGGGCUGGCAGUGGAUACGGACAGACUAGAGGUAGGUAGGGGAGAAUGGAAUUCCCGGUGUAGCGGUGAAAUGCGCAGAUAUCAGGAGGAACACCGGUGGCGAAGGCGGGUCUCUGGGCCGAAACUGACGCUGAGGAGCGAAAGCGUGGGGAGCGAACAGG